rnacentral:rRNA from 1 species
GGAUGAACGCUGGCGGCGUGCCUAAUACAUGCAAGUCGAACGCUUUGUGGUUCAACUGAUUUGAAGAGCUUGCUCAGAUAUGACGAUGGACAUUGCAAAGAGUGGCGAACGGGUGAGUAACACGUGGGAAACCUACCUCUUAGCAGGGGAUAACAUUUGGAAACAGAUGCUAAUACCGUAUAACAAUGACAACCGCAUGGUUGUUAUUUCAAAGAUGGUUCUGCUAUCACUAAGAGAUGGUCCCGCGGUGCAUUAGCUAGUUGGUAAGGUAAUGGCUUACCAAGGCGAUGAUGCAUAGCCGAGUUGAGAGACUGAUCGGCCACAAUGGGACUGAGACACGGCCCAUACUCCUACGGGAGGCAGCAGUAGGGAAUCUUCCACAAUGGGCGAAAGCCUGAUGGAGCAACGCCGCGUGUGUGAUGAAGGGUUUCGGCUCGUAAAACACUGUUGUAAGAGAAGAAUGACAUUGAGAGUAACUGUUCAAUGUGUGACGGUAUCUUACCAGAAAGGAACGGCUAAAUACGUGCCAGCAGCCGCGGUAAUACGUAUGUUCCAAGCGUUAUCCGGAUUUAUUGGGCGUAAAGCGAGCGCAGACGGUUAUUUAAGUCUGAAGUGAAAGCCCUCAGCUCAACUGAGGAAUUGCUUUGGAAACUGGAUGACUUGAGUGCAGUAGAGGAAAGUGGAACUCCAUGUGUAGCGGUGAAAUGUGUAGAUAUAUGGAAGAACACCAGUGGCGAAGGCGGCUUUCUGGACUGUAACUGACGUUGAGGCUCGAAAGUGUGGGUAGCAAACAGGAUUAGAUACCCUGGUAGUCCACACCGUAAACGAUGAGUGCUAGGUGUUUGAGGGUUUCCGCCCUUAAGUGCCGCAGCUAACGCAUUAAGCACUCCGCCUGGGGAGUACGACCGCAAGGUUGAAACUCAAAGGAAUUGACGGGGACCCGCACAAGCGGUGGAGCAUGUGGUUUAAUUCGAAGCAACGCGAAGAACCUUACCAGGUCUUGACAUCCCUUGACAACUCCAGAGAUGGAGCGUUCCCUUCGGGGACAAGGUGACAGGUGGUGCAUGGUUGUCGUCAGCUCGUGUCGUGAGAUGUUGGGUUAAGUCCCGCAACGAGCGCAACCCUUAUUACUAGUUGCCAGCAUUCAGUUGGGCACUCUAGUGAGACUGCCGGUGACAAACCGGAGGAAGGUGGGGAUGACGUCAAAUCAUCAUGCCCCUUAUGACCUGGGCUACACACGUGCUACAAUGGCGUAUACAACGAGUUGCCAACCCGCGAGGGUGAGCUAAUCUCUUAAAGUACGUCUCAGUUCGGAUUGUAGGCUGCAACUCGCCUACAUGAAGUCGGAAUCGCUAGUAAUCGCGGAUCAGCACGCCGCGGUGAAUACGUUCCCGGGUCUUGUACUCACCGC